CACAGUCCCUGGUUGCUGUGGUGGGCGACCCCGUUGCUCUGUGCUCUAUUGGAAGGUGUAGAAAGUUUUGGGAGCGGUUUAUUGCCCUGUGUCAUGAAAACCACAGCUUGCACGGGAUCACAUUCGAACAGAUCAAGGCCCAGUUAGAGGCUUUAGAGCUCAAGAAGACUUACGUGUUGAACCCACUGGCUCCUGAAUUUAUUCCCCGGGCUUUCAGACUGCAGCAUUCAGGAAACAGUAGCAGACAGCAGCAGUCACCACCCAAGGUGAAAAGCCUCCAUCAUCCCCAGAAUGACCAUUUCCAGAAUGAUGGAAUUGGUGAGUAGGAAAGCUAACCCCAGAAAAGCUUGCUUUCGAAAGACUUAUUAAGAAAAAUGCCACGAGAAAGAGGGUUCUGUCUGCAUGUCUGCAAGUCUGCAUGUCUGCCUAUGCUCUCUUCCCACCCCACCCCAACUCCCGCCCCCAGGCUCUCAGGCAUAUACAGAUACUAGCAUUGUAUUCUUAGUGAACCCUUUACUCUCUCAUGUCAGUGUGUUGAUUUUUGAAAAGUGGUCAGAUUGUAGCAACCAGCAGACAUAGCCUUUUACACAAUGUAAGUGUUCACUGGGUAUUUCUGUCCUAUAAACGUUUCAAGAUAAAUUUUAUUAGGACAAUCUUGAGUGCGGUGGUCAUACUUGUAUAACCUUCACUCCCUGUGUGGCUAUGUCCUAAGUUGUAUGUGGCAAGUCAGGACCUGGUUCUGAGGAACCGUCUGCUCUAGUCUUAAGGCUGCUGUUUGGAGCUGUUCACUCAUGGUUCCCUGUCUUGAAGACUCAUCUCCCGCUUCUCCGAAGUUAGCACUGCAGGCUUUGGACAGCGUCCUUCGCACAGCUGCAGCUGAUGCUGGAGAGCACCGUGGAGCGGCCGCUCUCUACCGUGCUUUCUUCCGCACACUGGCUCGUUGGUGGAGGGGCUCACGAUUCACCUGGGACAUGUGUUUUUGCUACUGGAUGAUUAGAGCAUUUCUGUCUAGGUCAACGUGUACAGCUAUUGAGUCUCCUUUUUGUUUGUUUGUUUUUCAGUUCAGCCCAACCCUUCCGUACUUAUUGGCAAUCCUAUUAGAGCAUAUACUCCUCCACCCCCUCUUGGACCGCACCCAAACUUGGGGAAAUCUCCAAGCCCCGUUCAAAGAAUAGACCCUCACACUGGGACUAGUAUUCUUUACGUUCCUGCUGUCUAUGGAGGGAAUGUAGUUAUGUCGGUGCCUU
rnacentral:lncRNA from 1 species